GCCGGGCUAGCUCAAUCGGUAGAGCGUGUGGCUCUUAACCACAAGGUUGCGAGUUCGACCCUCGCGUUCGGCU
rnacentral:tRNA from 14 species